ACGCACCGAAAUGCGAUAGGUCUUGCGACUUGCAGAAUCCAGUGAAUCAUCAAAACUUUGAACGCAUCUUGCGCUUCCGGGAUAUGCCUGGGAGCAUGCUUGUCGGAGUGUCUGUU
rnacentral:rRNA from 1 species